CCUGUGACCAAAUGGACUGAUUGACCCUCUGUUUUUGGCUUUUGGCUCCAUAUUAUUGCACAACAGUUUACACUUUAACUGACCCAGCAAACAUGUCACAAGUUUGUCACCUUAACCGCUCUCAACAUGUGACAUCCUGGUGUGAACAACUUUACCAGAGGUUUAAAAGACUGCAAACCCACAUUUUCUUGAUCUCAUGAGUAGUGGAGAAAUGUCUUCAACUCUGACAUCUGCUGUCAGUGGAGAUGUUCAUUUAUACCUGCCAUUGUUGGAUGCAUGAGAAACAUUUUUUCCCAGAAAAGUGGAGCUUCAAAUAUUACAAGUGACCUUGGUGAGCAACUGUGAAAACAAGUAACAAAUGAAGACAGGAAGACACCAGCAACAAUCACCCACGAUCAAGAAAUGGCUUCCCUGUUGUUGCUGCUACACCUCCUUCCACCAUCACCAGGAGGACCGAAGUCUCCAAAGAUCAGUGUGUGUGAUGCAGCUACGAGACUUGUAGUCUUUCAUAAGUUAAUAUCCAGCAAAUUACAGAAUUCAGUUCAGAGACUCAUGAUGCCAUCACCUCCAUGGUCGCCAUGGCUCCAGGCACUGUUACCGUGGUACAACAGUUGCAGGUGGCAGAUGAGCAGGAAGUCGGUAACUGCAGUAAUCAGCUGAUGGUGGUGAACGCAGACGGGGGUCUAACCGGUGACCAAGUGAUGGUGGUGGAGGAGGCACACGGCCUGGAGGCUCUGACAGUCCUCACUCAGGGAGAAAACACUCACCACUACAUUGUCUAUGUCCAGGAACACACUGUAGAAAUCAACUAGUACUGCUAGAACUUUAACAUAAAACUGCUGAUCAGUCAGUAGAUGAGUUUACAAAAGUAAAAUAAAAUACCAGUAAGCAAUAAAAUCAGGAUAUAGUAAAUGUUGACCUGUCAUCAUAAGGAGUAUUCUUCAAAUGUAUUUUUAGUCAUGUAGUAAUUAUGAAAAAUAUAAGUGCAAUACUUGAUUGUGUGAUUAUGUGACAUAUUUUGUACUUACAAAGUAUAUUUAAAUAAAAAAAACCCUGUCCAGCACUGCUUGAUACACUGGUGU